rnacentral:rRNA from 1 species
GACGAACGUUGGCGGCGUGCUUAACACAUGCAAGUCGAACGGAAAGGCCCUGCUUUUGUGGGGUGCUCGAGUGGCGAACGGGUGAGUAACACGUGAGUAACCUGCCCUUGACUUUGGGAUAACUUCAGGAAACUGGGGCUAAUACCGGAUAGGAGCUCCUGCUGCAUGGUGGGGGUUGGAAAGUUUCGGCGGUUGGGGAUGGACUCGCGGCUUAUCAGCUUGUUGGUGGGGUAGUGGCUUACCAAGGCUUUGACGGGUAGCCGGCCUGAGAGGGUGACCGGCCACAUUGGGACUGAGAUACGGCCCAGACUCCUACGGGAGGCAGCAGUGGGGAAUAUUGCACAAUGGGCGGAAGCCUGAUGCAGCAACGCCGCGUGCGGGAUGACGGCCUUCGGGUUGUAAACCGCUUUCGCCUGUGACGAAGCGUGAGUGACGGUAAUGGGUAAAGAAGCACCGGCUAACUACGUGCCAGCAGCCGCGGUGAUACGUAGGGUGCGAGCGUUGUCCGGAUUUAUUGGGCGUAAAGGGCUCGUAGGUGGUUGAUCGCGUCGGAAGUGUAAUCUUGGGGCUUAACCCUGAGCGUGCUUUCGAUACGGGUUGACUUGAGGAAGGUAGGGGAGAAUGGAAUUCCUGGUGGAGCGGUGGAAUGCGCAGAUAUCAGGAGGAACACCAGUGGCGAAGGCGGUUCUCUGGGCCUUUCCUGACGCUGAGGAGCGAAAGCGUGGGGAGCGAACAGGCUUAGAUACCCUGGUAGUCCACGCCGUAAACGGUGGGUACUAGGUGUGGGGUCCAUUCCACGGGUUCCGUGCCGUAGCUAACGCUUUAAGUACCCCGCCUGGGGAGUACGGCCGCAAGGCUAAAACUCAAAGGAAUUGACGGGGCCCCGCACAAGCGGCGGAGCAUGCGGAUUAAUUCGAUGCAACGCGUAGAACCUUACCUGGGUUUGACAUGGAUCGGGAGUGCUCAGAGAUGGGUGUGCCUCUUUUGGGGUCGGUUCACAGGUGGUGCAUGGCUGUCGUCAGCUCGUGUCGUGAGAUGUUGGGUUAAGUCCCGCAACGAGCGCAACCCUUGUUCACUGUUGCCAGCACGUUAUGGUGGGGACUCAGUGGAGACCGCCGGGGUCAACUCGGAGGAAGGUGGGGAUGACGUCAAGUCAUCAUGCCCCUUAUGUCCAGGGCUUCACGCAUGCUACAAUGGCUGGUACAGAGAGUGGCGAGCCUGUGAGGGUGAGCGAAUCUCGGAAAGCCGGUCUCAGUUCGGAUUGGGGUCUGCAACUCGACCUCAUGAAGUCGGAGUCGCUAGUAAUCGCAGAUCAGCAACGCUGCGGUGAAUACGUUCCCGGG